AGCGGCGGCACCUGUCACCCCCACACCCUCCCCGGGGACACCGGACACCACCAACGACACCCCCGGGCAGCCCCUCCGGACCACACAAGAGUUUGUGUAUGCUGGGAAGUGCCACAUCCUCCCGAGUUGUGCGUGGGGCAGGGUGACGCCUGCCCGGUUCCUUCAGAAGGUUUCCUCCCCUCCUCAGUGGCAGAGGCUUGGUCCCCAGGGCAGGACUGCAAGAUGGAGAUGGGCCAGACUGGUGCCUUGAGCCUUUUCCCCUGGAUGAAAUCCUGCCUUGCACGGGGUGCUGACCCCAGCAACACCUCUCCUUGGAAAAAAACCCCAUGCCUGGGACCAGUUCCAGCACUGUCACCAGCUGGUAUGGAGCAACCUAAACACAAAAGGGCCAAAAAAGAUCCCCUCCCUGCCCAUUCCAAACUAACUGUGGGUGCAGCACUUCACACAAAGGACUUCAAGAAGCAUCUGGCUGAGAACACCUAUGGAGCAAGACCUGUCCUUGUGAACAAAUCCUUCAUGAUGUGUUUGUCUGCCCAUGCUCUGGGCUAGCACAAGGUUUGGGUUGUACAGUCAACUUGAACUUA